ACUAAUUUGACAGAAUUAUUGUAUCAAAUUUAGAAUUUGAAAAAGGGUAUAAAUCCAAUUAGUA
rnacentral:tRNA from 1 species